rnacentral:rRNA from 1 species
CCGUUUUGUGACGCGGAGGGUCAUUACCGAGUUUACAACUCCCAAACCCAAUGUGAACCAUACCAAACUGUUGCCUCGGCGGGGUCACGCCCCGGGUGCGUCGCAGCCCCGGAACCAGGCGCCCGCCGGAGGGACCAACCAAACUCUUUUCUGUAGUCCCCUCGCGGACGUUAUUUCUUACAGCUCUGAGCAAAAAUUCAAAAUGAAUCAAAACUUUCAACAACGGAUCUCUUGGUUCUGGCAUCGAUGAAGAACGCAGCGAAAUGCGAUAAGUAAUGUGAAUUGCAGAAUUCAGUGAAUCAUCGAAUCUUUGAACGCACAUUGCGCCCGCCAGUAUUCUGGCGGGCAUGCCUGUCCGAGCGUCAUUUCAACCCUCGAACCCCUCCGGGGGGUCGGCGUUGGGGACCUCGGGAGCCCCUAAGACGGGAUCCCGGCCCCGAAAUACAGUGGCGGUCUCGCCGCAGCCUCUCCUGCGCAGUAGUUUGCACAACUCGCACCGGGAGCGCGGCGCGUCCACGUCCGUAAAACACCCAACUUCUGAAAUGUUGACCUCGGAUCAGGUAGGAAUACCCGCUGAACUUAAGCAUAUCAAAAAGCGGAGGAA